rnacentral:rRNA from 1 species
AUACGAAAGGUGCGAGCGUUGUUCGGAUUUACUGGGCGUAAAGCGAGUGUAGGUGGUUUGUUAAGUCGGAUGUGAAAUCCCGGGGCUCAACCUCGGAACUGCAUUCGAUACUGGCAGGCUAGAGUUCGGGAGGGGUAAGCGGAAUUCCGUGUGUAGCAGUGAAAUGCGUAGAUAUACGGAGGAACACCUGUGGCGAAGGCGGCUUACUGGACCGAUACUGACACUGAGACUCGAAAGCGUGGGUAGCAAACAGGAUUAGAAACCCUAGUAGUCC